rnacentral:lncRNA from 1 species
GAGACCCGUUUGAUUCUCAUUUCACACAAAGACAUUGUUAUGCUCACAAUAAUGAAACCAAUAGCAUUUAUAAAGUAGUUUUCAGUUAGCACUGCUUAUUUCUUUCUGUGUUAACAUAUUUGUCUUUAUUAUUCCAGCCCAGAUGACUUACUCAAUGCCUUGAAUGAGGGUAUCAGCCGUGCUGAUGUCAUCAUCACGUCAGGAGGUGUAUCCAUGGGGGAAAAGGACUAUCUCAAGCAGGUGCUGGACAUCGAUCUUCAUGCUCAGAUCCAUUUUGGCAGGGUUUUUAUGAAGCCAGGCUUGCCAACAACAUUUGCAACUUUGGAUAUUGAUGGUGUAAGAAAAAUUAUUUUUGCACUACCAGGUAAGAAUCAU